AAGAAAGUGUUGUUGAUAGUAUUUGUUUCAUUUCUUGUCCCAUUUUGUAGUUCCAUUGAUACUAUUUCCUUUAACCAAACUCUCAAAGAUGGUGAUUUGUUGAUCUCUUCAGGGAAAUCUUUUGCUUUGGGUUUCUUUGGGAAUUCCCCUGGUAAACGUUACAUCGGAAUUUGGUAUAACAAUGUUCCUGAACUUACUGUUGUUUGGGUUGCCAACAGAGAUAACCCUGUUAAUGGCACAUCUGGGAUUCUCACCAUCGAUUCAACUGGGAAUCUUGUUAUACGUCUCGAUGCGGAAAGAAAAACUGCAGCCUG
rnacentral:misc_RNA from 1 species